rnacentral:misc_RNA from 1 species
CUCUGCUCUCUGCAGAGCAGCUUUAUCUUCAACGCUGAUGAACCACAAUGCAUUCCAAUCUCACAAAGCAAUGUCCUGACAAUUAGUUGAGGAAAUCCAGUAGAUGACAAAUAUGGAUAUCAACAUUCAUUAAGAGCAACAGAGCGUUCUUCUUCCAUUUUCUUGCUGUCUAGUAUGCAAUUUCAUUCCAGUUGGACGUGAAGGCGCAGCAAUUACCAAUUUCUUAGCUAUUUCAUAAAAGAGCUCAUUCACAUUCUGUGCAGUUUUUGCAGACGUUUCAAGAAAAACCAAGCCAUUUUCUUUAGCAUAUUGCUCACCUUCCUCACUUGCAACUUUUCUCUUCUCUUCCA